GUGGGGAAUUUUGGACAAUGGGCGAAAGCCUGAUCCAGCAAUGCCGCGUGUGUGAAGAAGGCCUUCGGGUUGUAAAGCACUUUUGUCCGGAAAGAAAUCUGUCUGGCUAAUACCUAGAUGGGAUGACGGUACCGGAAGAAUAAGCACCGGCUAACUACGUGCCAGCAGCCGCGGUAAUACGUAGGGUGCGAGCGUUAAUCGGAAUUACUGGGCGUAAAGCGUGCGCAGGCGGUUUUGUAAGACCGAUGUGAAAUCCCCGGGCUUAACCUGGGAACUGCAUUGGUGACUGCAAGGCUAGAGUGCGUCAGAGGGGGGUGGAAUUCCGCGUGUAGCAGUGAAAUGCGUAGAGAUGCGGAGGAACACCGAUGGCGAAGGCAGCCCCCUGGGAUGACACUGACGCUCAUGCACGAAAGCGUGGGGAGCAAACAGGAUUAGAUACCCGGGUAGUCC
rnacentral:rRNA from 1 species